rnacentral:snoRNA from 1 species
AUGCCAUGAUGUGGACACUUUCGAAGCAUAUUCUUGAACCUACUCUAUGCUUCAUCAAAGUUCUCUGAGUCACCUUGAUGAAAGACAGAUAUAUCAUGCUUGAGCUU